rnacentral:miRNA from 1 species
AUCGGGAAGUAUCGGAUAAUUAUU